rnacentral:rRNA from 1 species
UACGAAGGGGGCUAGCGUUGUUCGGAAUACUGGGCGUAAAGCGUGCGCAGGCGGUUCUAUAAGACAGAUGUGAAAUCCCCGGGCUCAACCUGGGAACUGCAUUUGUGACUGUAGAGCUGGAGUGCGGCAGAGGGGGAUGGAAUUCCGCGUGUAGCAGUGAAAUGCGUAGAUAUGCGGAGGAACACCGAUGGCGAAGGCAAUCCCUGGGCCUGCACUGACGCUCAUGCACGAAAGCGUGGGGAG